rnacentral:rRNA from 1 species
CAUUUCUUAUUAAAUUUUUAAUAAGUAUCACCUGCUCAAUGAAUUAAUUAAAUAGCCGCGGAAAUUUAACCGUGCUAAGGUAGCAUAAUCAUUAGCCUCUUAAUUAGAGACUAGAAUGAAAGGUGAAACAUUUCAAUUUCUAUUUUAUUUUAUUUUUUCUAAAUUAAAUUAAGAAUAAAAAUGUUCUUAUUAAUGAAAUAGACGAUAAGACCCUAUUGAACUUUACUUUAGUUUAGCUGGGGCAGCUUAAUAAAAAUUAUUUUAUUAUUUUUAUUUUUCAUAAAUGACCCAAUAAAAUUGAUUUUAUGAACAAGUUACCAUAGGGAUAACAGCGUAAUAUUUUUUUAAAGCUCUUAUUUUAAUAAAAGAUUGCGACCUCGAUGUUGAAUUAAUGUUACUUUAAAAUGCAAAAACUUUAAAAGUAGGUCUGUUCGACCUUUAAAACAUUAC